AUUGAACGCUGGCGGCAUGCCUUACACAUGCAAGUCGAACGGCAGCACGGGUGCUUGCACCUGGUGGCGAGUGGCGAACGGGUGAGUAAUACAUCGGAACAUGUCCUGUAGUGGGGGAUAGCCCGGCGAAAGCCGGAUUAAUACCGCAUACGAUCUACGGAUGAAAGCGGGGGACCUUCGGGCCUCGCGCUAUAGGGUUGGCCGAUGGCGGAUUAGCUAGUUGGGGGGGUAAAGGCCUACCAAGGCGACGAUCAGUAGCUGGUCUGAGAGGACGACCAGCCACACUGGGACUGAGACACGGCCCAGACGCCUGCGGGAGGCAGCAGUGGGGAAUGUUGGACAAUGGGCGAAAGCCUGAUCCAGCAAUGCCGCGUGUGUGAAGAAGGCCUUCGGGUUGUAAAGCACUUUUGUCCGGAAAGAAAUCCUUGGCCCUAAUACGGUCGGGGGAUGACGGUACCGGAAGAAUAAGCACCGGCUAACUACGUG
rnacentral:rRNA from 1 species